rnacentral:lncRNA from 1 species
CCCACCGUAUCUCAAACCGUAUCUCAAGAAACCCAAGCGUUUUGUUUUCCCCCUAUUCAAGCCGAUCCAAUUGAUCUUCUACUUACAGCUUUUGGUGGACAACCAAGGUGGAUGACAGUGGUUGCGGUGUUAUGACAACGGAGGUGGAUGACAGUGGUGCUCGGUGAUAGAAGCACACAAUCGUGACACAGACGGUUGGAACAGAUGAUAGCGACAAAGAGGUUCUAGGGUUCCUACCACUAGCAGGUAUCAAACACCGUAACUUGUCACCACCUCCGAUCCGUUCUACACCGGCUUUCGCCCUCCACCUCCUCAACCACCACCAUCUUUGCCGCUGGUUUAGCCCACUGGACCACCACAAUCGAGCGCCAGUCUCAGUCCGUGAGAGAGACGCUGAUUGUGUAAAUACGACACCAACGCAAAUAGGUUGAUAUAAAGAUCAUCAACAAUGGUGAGAGCACAUUGCGUGGACAAAAACAGUAUCAAGAAAGGAGCUUGGAGUGAAGAAGAUAACCAACUAACUAAGAGCUUAUCUUCAAUAUUAGGAAUUGGUGUGAACUUCCCUAACACGCCGAAAUCGAAACCUCCUUGAACCCUAAAUCGAUGGCUGCACAACCUGCUAAACGACGGCAGUAUCGGACAGUGUUUCCUCUUAUCUCUGUCAUCCUCUACCGCUAUAAAUGAUGGCUUAGAGGAGCGAGGCGGCAACAGUUUCGAAACUGGUACUAGCGGAUACGAACGAAAGGAAGAAAUUGAGAUUGAAAUUCCAGUGAUCGAGGUUUUCAUUCCAUGUGGAACCGUUUGUCGGAGUAGAGAUGAAGACGUUACGAUCUCCGGCACAGAAGUAAACGUCGAUUCUCAGGCAUGGAUGAAUCUUCUGUGGUGUCUGUUGCUAUGGAAGGUGUUAAUGUGGUCAAUGGUUUGGAGUAUAAGUUGUUUUGCUGCUCGUCAAAGAAUCAAGAUUGUCUCACCACACACUCCUGAAAUAAGUGAUUCUUAUUUUGUUUGAUGUUUGAUUACAUUGGUUCAGACUCAACUCGAGCGCCAUGAAAAUGCGAUCUUGAAACAAGAAAACGAUAAGCUUCGGAUCAAAAACAUAGCGAUGAAAGAAGCGAUCCGAGCUCGAGCUCCGGUUUGCAACAACUGUGGUGUCUAUCGACGACUAUCAUCUUAGAAUCGAGAAUGCCCGACUAAGAGACGAACUUAGCCGGAUAUCAAUUCUCGCGGCAAAAACUCGUAAAUACUGGCGGCA